ACUGGAUGUGUCUACCAGGUGUCUUACCUUCUAACACAGGUACAGCUGACUGGAUGUGUCUACCAGGCACCAGGUGUCUUACCUUCUAACACAGGUGCA